UACGUAGGCAGCAAGCGUUGUUCGGAGUUACUGGGCGUAAAGGGUGUGUAGGCGGUUCCUUAAGUUUGCUGUGAAAUCUCCCGGCUUAACCGGGAGGGUGCGGUGAAUACUGAGGGACUAGAGUACGGGAGAGGAAAGUGGAAUUUACGGUGUAGCGGUGAAAUGCGUAGAUAUCGUAAGGAAGACCAGUGGCGAAGGCGGGUCUCUGGACAGUUCCUGACGCUGAGGCACGAAGGUCAGGGGAGCAAACGGG
rnacentral:rRNA from 1 species